rnacentral:sRNA from 1 species
AGCAGCCGACGCCGAGAGGCACCGUUUCUUCUUAAAAGAGAAACGCUGCGCGCGCGAGCCUCUGGUGCACAUGGCUUCCUCCCCGGCGGUGGACGUGUCCUGCAGGCGGCGGGAGAAGCGGCGGCAGCUGGACGCGCGCCGCAGCAAGUGCCGCAUCCGCCUGGGCGGCCACAUGGAGCAGUGGUGCCUCCUCAAGGAGCGGCUGGGCUUCUCCCUGCACUCGCAGCUCGCCAAGUUCCUGUUGGACCGGUACACUUCUUCAGGCUGUGUCCUCUGUGCAGGUAGGUAGGGGAUGGCAGGGGGUGAGAGCCAGAGGGAAGAGGGACCACAGGGUGACCCAGAAACACCCUCCUUUCAAAGGGAGCCCUGAGUAAGUUUGGGAAGGGUGGGGUAAGUUGGGGAGCACAGGGUAGUUUGAUGGAGGCAACCUCUGGGUGGGGAAGGGAGCAAUGUCUCAGGAUCUAGUGUGUCUAGGUUCUGAAGAAUGAUAAAUUGGACUGGGGCUGAGGUUGCCCUAGGGUUUGAGGGAACGGGGCUCCCUGGGUAUGGCUC